rnacentral:ncRNA from 1 species
UCCCGUUGCAUGUGCGGGCAUUCACAUGCACCUCCCUGUUGGACCUGGCCGGGCGUCACGCCCGGCCUUUUUU